AUAUUGACAGAAGCGGAAACCACAUACUCAGCAUGGCUAGAUUAGCUAAAGAUGUCCUAGCGGAGAUCCCAGAGCAGUUUCUCUCCUACAUGAGGACCAGAGGAAUCAAGCCAUCACCUGCACCUCCCCCGUACACCCCACCUACACAUGUGUUACAUACUCAAAUAUGACUGUGCUCCAAAAUGCUAAUGUAACUACACUUCAGUUAGAACUGCUGAGUCCAUGCUUUUCUCCUGGUGCUCUAUAAGGAACCAGGGAAUGAGAUACUUUUCUCAGUUUGGUUUCAGCAGUAUUGGUUUGUAUGCUUUCUUGGAUCCAAAAUUUAUUAUCUUCCUAAACCAAAACUGUAAAUACGGUUGUUGCAUGAGCAACAGAAAAAUUGUUUAAAUGCUUGAAGCAAAAUAUGGAUGUAUUCUCUGAAUCUUUAAAUGUUUUCUAGACAGAAACAGUUAAUUUCCAAUGUACUGUUGGGAAAAAGCACAACCUGUGUUUUUAACUCAAAUAUUGUCCUUGACUGCUAUGUAUAUAGGAAAGCAGUCUCUCUAUAUCAAUGUUUACAUGUUACUACUUUUUAGAUUCCAAUACUUUUAUAACUGUUCUUAAGAAUACAAGUUUUGAAUAUUGAAUCCUUUGUCUUCUAAAUUGCAAUAGCUAUAAUCACAAGAGCAAUAUCUCUUUGAAUGACUGUCUGGAGAAAUGCAAUUGCAAGCAAGGGAAGGUAAAUAUACUUUCAUAUUUCUCAGUAAGUGAAUUAUCUUAUGAAGCUGUAUCUACUUAGUAAUCAGUUCCUCUGUGCCAUUUGCCAAGUAUGGGAGUUUACACUUAGCAGAUGUGUAUUCUGAAAGAACAUGCAUUUUUCAUGAAGUUUGGGUUCUAAAUUUAGACUGCAAUUUGUUUAUGUUUUGUAAUGCUAAGUAGAAAUAAUAAAAAGUCAAACAUCGUGAACUGCAAAUGCACAGAAAAUACUUGGUGUAAAAAGUAGCAUCUUUAUAUUACAAUACUAUGUAGAAAGGCUAAAAUCCAGAAUAUUUGACUGUGAACCAUGUAGCAGAUGUUUUAAACUUUGUAUUUCAUUGUACCUUGUCUAGAUAUUUUAAGUCAAAUGGAUACUGGCUCUCUUGAUUUGAAUUCCUUUCCAAGUUGCCACGCAGGGUGCACAGGCUGGAAGUUUUUUGCGAAAUUCCCAGUUAAAUAUACACAACCAUGUGACGUAGUGCACAACACAUUUGUGAAAUAACCCACUCCUAUAUAUUGACUGAUCUGCCUAUCCACAAUUAAUUGUAAAGAGUUUUUGCAUGUACAGUUUUUAUGAGAAUUGCAGUUUUGUGACAAGAAUGACAGUUGUGUCUAAAUUAAAACAUAUCUUUAGAACAAAUGGCCUUAAAUUCUCACAGAAUUCCUGGAAAUGAUUGUGAAUUACCUUUAAGUAAUAGAAAAGUGAAUUUAUUUUUUUUCUUUUGUGUCAACAAUGUAACUGCUUUAUAAUAUUUUCCUUACUUAUACCCUAUUUACUACUUGGUUUAUUUCUACUGUAUGUUGUUCUCUUUGUCCCACGUUGACUAAGGGUGACUUUUAUAAGCAUGAAACUAUUUUACGGAAAACAAAAAUAUAUACAUUCACAUAUCUAACAGAAUCGAUGUUAUAUAAUUAUGUACUCCUAAAUUGUCCAUUUUGGAGUAUAUAUUAAAAUCUUUUAAAGAUUAACUAUUUGCUCUGUAAACUUUAUGUAUAAAUGACAUGGAAUCUGAUGAUUUCCUUUACUGGUCUCAAAUAUUUAUGUCAGUAUAGUUUAUUAGCCUACAAUUGUAUUAUUUGCCUUCAUUCAUCAGUUCUAAAGAAUGAAAAUAAAUAAGAUCAAUAUUA
ensembl:lncRNA